rnacentral:rRNA from 1 species
GGCUUCCUGCAUUCGGGACGCAACCCCUGUGACAUACCAAUUGUUGCCUCGGCGGAUCAGCCCGCUCCCGGUAAAACGGGACGGCCCGCCAGAGGACCCCUAAACUCUGUUUCUAUAUGUAACUUCUGAGUAAAACCAUAAAUAAAUCAAAACUUUCAACAACGGAUCUCUUGGUUCUGGCAUCGAUGAAGAACGCAGCAAAAUGCGAUAAGUAAUGUGAAUUGCAGAAUUCAGUGAAUCAUCGAAUCUUUGAACGCACAUUGCGCCCGCCAGUAUUCUGGCGGGCAUGCCUGUUCGAGCGUCAUUUCAACCCUCAAGCCCCCGGGUUUGGUGUUGGGGAUCGGCGAGCCCUUGCGGCAAGCCGGCCCCGAAAUCUAGUGGCGGUCUCGCUGCAGCUUCCAUUGCGUAGUAGUAAAACCCUCGCAACUGGUACGCGGCGCGGCCAAGCCGUUAAACCCCCAACUUCUGAAUGUUGACCUCGGAUCAGGUAGGAAUACCCGCUGAACUUAAGCAUAUCAAAGCCCGGAGGAAA